ACUCCUACGGGAGGCAGCAGUGGGGAAUAUUGCACAAUGGGGGAAACCCUGAUGCAGCCAUGCCGCGUGUGUGAAGAAGGCCUUCGGUUGUAAAGACACUUUCUAGUAGGAGGAAGGUAGUGUAGUUAACACCUGCAUUAUUUGUACGUUACCUACAGAAGAAGCACCGGCUAACUCCGUGCCAGCAGCCGCGGUAAGUACGGAGGGUGCGAGCGUUAAUCGGAAUUACUGGGCGUAAAGCGCAUGCAGGCGGCCUGUUAAGUCAGAUGUGAAAGCCCGGGGUCUUAACCUCGGAAUUGCAUUUGAAACUGGCAGGCUAGAGUCUUGUAGAGGGGUUAGAAUUUCAGGUGUAGCGGUGAAAUGCGUAGAGAUCUGAAGGAAUACCAGU
rnacentral:rRNA from 1 species